UACAGAGGGGGCAAGCGUUGUUCGGAAUUACUGGGCUUAAAGGGUGCGUAGGCGGUGUAGCAAGUCGGGAGUGAAAUCCCGCAGCUCAACUGCGGAAUUGCUUUCGGUACUGCUGCGCUUGAGUGAGAUAGAGGUAAGCGGAACUUAGGGUGGAGCGGUGAAAUGCGUUGAUAUCCUAAGGAACACCGGUGGCGAAGGCGGCUUACUGGGUCUCUACUGCCGCUGAUGCACGAAAGCCAGGGUAGCGAACGGG
rnacentral:rRNA from 1 species